CCACCUUACUCAUAACUUCUAUUAUAUAGUCCUGACAAUAUAGGACUGGAAAGUGGAAACCAUUAUUGCAAAAUGUUGUGAAUACUUAGCAAAAAAAAAAAAAAAAAUGUUGUGAAUACAUUUAUUUUUAGCACAAAAGAAAGUUUUAAAAAAUUUAUUGGUCUAAUUGUACUUUUAACCUUAAAUGAACGUUUGAAAUAUCUACGUUCGCCCUUUUCACCACCCGAC
rnacentral:lncRNA from 1 species